CUGCUGGCUCCUGACUGCUCUCAAGAAGUCAAUGAGGGAAGCCGCUGAGGAGGGUACACCAUAAUCUGGCCAGCUCAGGAAUUGAAAAUUGGUCACUGUGAGGAAGCCAAAUCGGAUCCGAGAGUCUUUUUCUAAAGGCCAGUACUGGCCACACUUCCUCCUGCCGCCCUCCUCAAAGCUGAAGACACACAGAGCAAGGCUCCACCCCGCCCGGCACACGAGACACACUUUAUU